CCGUGCAACCAACCGAAAAAUGUUUCUUGAAGGUUCGCGAACCCAGAACCUUCGAAACCUCGAAGUAGCCUCCGGGCUCUAUCUUCCCGAAGAUCGCCUCCGUCCUCUUGGCGUCAACCUCGGACAGAGUCGGCAACUUGUUGCAGCUCUUCCCUGAAAAUCGCAUGUCAGGCGACAAUAAUGGCUCACGAACAAAAAACAAAUAGGAACUAACCUGGCGUUCCCCAAGAUCUAGGGACUCGUGGAGUACUAUCG
rnacentral:lncRNA from 1 species